GUAGGUGGCAAGCGUUGUCCGGAAUUAUUGGGCGUAAAUCGCGCGCAGGCGGUUUUUUAAGUCUGAUGUGAAAGCCCACGGCUCAACCGUGGAGGGUCAUUGGAAACUGGAGAACUUGAGUACAGAAGAGGGAAGCGGAAUUCCACGUGUAGCGGUGAAAUGCGUAGAGAUGUGGAGGAACACCAGUGGCGAAGGCGGCUUUCUGGUCUGUAACUGACGCUGAGGCGCGAAAGCGUGGGGAGCAAACAGGGAUUAGAUACCCUGGUAGUCCACGCCGUAAACGAUGAGUGCUAAGUGUUAGGGGGUUUCCCGCCCCUUAGUGCUGCAGCUAACGCAUUAAGCACUCCGCCUGGGGAGUACGGCCGCAAGGCUG
rnacentral:rRNA from 1 species